rnacentral:rRNA from 1 species
UAACACGAAGGGAACCUGCCCGCGCACCGGGAAUACGCUCUGGAAACNGAGAACAAAUCCCGAUGUACAGGAAGGAGGCAUCUUCUUUCUGUGAAACAUCCUUUCGGGGAUGGGGCGCGGAUGGACCUGCGGUGCAUUAGUUGGUUGGCGGGGUAAAGGCCACCAAGACGAUGAUGCAUAGCCGGCCUGAGAGGGCGGACGGCCACAUUGGGACUGAGACACGGCCCAGACUCCUGCGGGAGGCAGCAGUAGGGAAUUUUCGUCAAUGGGCGCAAGCCUGAACGAGCGAUGCCGCGUGAGUGAAGAAGGCCUUCGGGUCGUAAAGCUCUGUUGCGGGGGAAAAAAGGCAGCAUCAGGAAAUGGGUGCUGACUGAUGGUGCCCCGCCAGAAAGUCACGGCUAACUACGUGCCAGCAGCCGCGGUAAUACGUAGGUGGCGAGCGUUAUCCGGAAUGAUUGGGCGUAAAGGGUGCGCAGGCGGUCCUGCAAGUCUGGAGUGAAACGCAUGAGCUCAACUCAUGCAUGGCUUUGGAAACUGGAGGACUGGAGAGCAGGAGAGGGCGGUGGAACUCCAUGUGUAGCGGUAAAAUGCGUAGAUAUAUGGAAGAACACCAGUGGCGAAGGCGGCCGCCUGGCCUGUUGCUGACGCUGAGGCACGAAAGCGUGGGGAGCAAAUAGGAUUAGAUACCCUAGUAGUCCACGCCGUAAACGAUGAGGACCAAGUGU